rnacentral:rRNA from 1 species
UGAUGGCGACCGGCGCACGGGUGCGUAACGCGUAUGCAACCUACCCUAUACUGAGGGAUAGCCCGAAGAAAUUCGGAUUAAUACCUCAUGGUAAUUUUAGAUCGCAUGGUUUAGAAUUUAAAGGUCACGGUAUAGGAUGGGCAUGCGUCCCAUUAGCUAGAUGGUAAGGUAACGGCUUACCAUGGCUACGAUGGGUAGGGGGCCUGAGAGGGUGAUCCCCCACACUGGUACUGAGACACGGACCAGACUCC